rnacentral:rRNA from 1 species
ACGGGGGGGGCAAGCGUUGUUCGGAAUUACUGGGCGUAAAGGGCUCGUAGGUGGCCAACUAAGUCAGACGUGAAAUCCCUCGGCUUAACCGGGGAACUGCGUCUGAUACUGGAUGGCUUGAGUUUGGGAGAGGGACGCGGAAUUCCAGGUGUAGCGGUGAAAUGCGUAGAUAUCUGGAGGAACACCGGUGGCGAAGGCGGCGUCCUGGACCAACACUGACACUGAGGAGCGAAAGCCAGGGGAGCAAACGGGAUUAGAUACCCCGGUAGUCCUGGCCCUAAACGAUGAAUGCUUGGUGUGGCGGGUAUCGAUCCCUGCCGUGCCGAAGCUAACGCAUUAAGCAUUCCGCCUGGGGAGUACGGUCGCAAGGCUG